UACGAAGGGGGCUAGCGUUGCUCGGAAUCACUGGGCGUAAAGGGUGCGUAGGCGGGCAUUUAAGUCAGGGGUGAAAUCCUGGAGCUCAACUCCAGAACUGCCUUUGAUACUGAAGAUCUUGAGUUCGGGAGAGGUGAGUGGAACUGCGAGUGUAGAGGUGAAAUUCGUAGAUAUUCGCAAGAACACCAGUGGCGAAGGCGGCUCACUGGCCCGCUACUGACGCUGAGGCACGAAAGCGUGGGGAGCAAACAGG
rnacentral:rRNA from 1 species